GACGAACGCUGGCGGCGUGCCUUACCCAUGCAAGUCGGACGGUUCUUUGGGGGAGACCCUGAGGGAUUAGUGGCAGACGGCUGAGUAACACGUGAGGACCUAUCCAGUUGAGGGGGAUAGCCGCUCGAAAGAGCGGGUAAUACCGCGUAAGCUCUGGGGGUGAGAGCCUUUGGAGGAAAGGGAGUGAUCCCGCGACUGGAGGGACUCGCGGCCCAUCAGGUAGUAGGUGAGGUAAGGGCUCACCUAGCCGAUGACGGGUAGCUGGUCUGAGAGGAUGGCCAGCCAGACUGGGACUGAGAGACGGCCCAGACUCCUACGGGGGGCAGCAGGGGGGGAUCUUGGUCAAUGGGGGAAACCCUGAACCAGCGACGCCGCGUGAGGGAAGAAGGUCUUUGGAUCGUAAACCUCUUUUGGCAGGGAAGAUGAUGACGGUACCUGUCGAAUAAGCCCCGGCUAACUACGUGCCAGCAGCCGCGGUAAUACGUAGGGGGCGAGCGUUGUCCGGAUUUACUGGGCGUAAAGAGCGCGUAGGCGGUCUGAAGAGUCGGCUGUGAAAUCUCUGGGCCCAACCCAGAGGGGUCGGCCGAGACCUUUGGACUAGAGGGUGGUAGAGGAAGGUGGAAUUCCGGGUGUAGUGAUGAAAUGCGUAGAGAUCCGGAGGAACACCAGUGGCGAAGGCGGCCUUCUGGGCCAUACCUGACGCUGAGGCGCGAAAGCGUGGGGAGCGAACCGAAUCAGAUACUCGGGUAGUCCACGCCCUAAACGAUGGACGCUAGGUGUCGGGGGUAUCGACCCCCCCGGUGCCCGAGCGAACGCAGUAAGCGUCCCGCCUGGGGAGUACGGCCGCAAGGCUA
rnacentral:rRNA from 1 species